rnacentral:rRNA from 1 species
CAGUAGCCGCGGUAAUACGAAGGGGGCUAGCGUUGUUCGGAUUUACUGGGCGUAAAGGGCGCGUAGGCGGACUGAUAAGUCAGGGGUGAAAUCCCAAGGCUCAACCUUGGAACUGCCUUUGAUACUGUUUGUCUUGAGUUCGAGAGAGGUAAGUGGAACUGCGAGUGUAGAGGUGAAAUUCGUAGAUAUUCGCAAGAACACCAGUGGCGAAGGCGGCUUACUGGCUCGAUACUGACGCUGAGGCGCGAAAGCGUGGGGAGCAAACAGGAUUAGAUACCCGCGUAGUCCCUGUCUCUUAUAC